rnacentral:rRNA from 1 species
UACGAAGGGGGCUAGCGUUGCUCGGAAUGACUGGGCGUAAAGGGCGCGUAGGCGGCUUGCACAGUCAGGCGUGAAAUUCCUGGGCUCAACCUGGGGACUGCGCUUGAGACGUGUGGGCUUGAGUGGGGAAGAGGGUCGUGGAAUUCCCAGUGUAGAGGUGAAAUUCGUAGAUAUUCGGAAGAACACCAGUGGCGAAGGCGGCUCACUGGACCGGCAUUGACGCUGAGGUGCGAAAGCGUGGGGAGCAAACAGG